rnacentral:rRNA from 1 species
AGUGGCGGACGGGUGAGUAAUGCAUAGGAAUCUGCCUUUAGGACUGGGGUAACUUGGGGAAACUCAAGCUAAUACCGGAUAAUAACUAAGGUUUAAAGUGGGGGACCUUCGGGCCUCGCGUCUAAAGAGGAGCCUAUGUUGGAUUAGCUAGUUGGUGGGGUAAAGGCUCACCAAGGCGACGAUCCAUAGCUGGUCUGAGAGGAUGAUCAGCCACACUGGGACUGAGACACGGCCCAGACUCCUACGGGAGGCAGCAGUGGGGAAUAUUGGACAAUGGGGGAAACCCUGAUCCAGCAAUGCCGCGUGUGUGAAGAAGGCCUGCGGGUUGUAAAGCACUUUCAGUAGUGAGGAAGGCUGGGUAGUUAAUAGCUGCUCAGAUUGACGUUAGCUACAGAAGAAGCACCGGCUAACUCUGUGCCAGCAGCCGCGGUAAUACAGAGGGUGCGAGCGUUAAUCGGAAUUACUGGGCGUAAAGAGUAUGUAGGUUGUAAAGUAAGUUAGGUGUGAAAUACCCGGGCUCAACCUGGGAACUGCGCUUGAUACUGCUUUACUAGAGUAUUAGAGAGGAUAGUGGAAUUUCCGGUGUAGUGGUGAAAUACGUAGAUAUCGGAAGGAACAUCAGUGGCGAAGGCGGCUAUCUGGAUAAAUACUGA